rnacentral:lncRNA from 1 species
GAACAGUGCACAGAUAGACCACUUUCAUCCUCACAGGAAGAUCUAUUGGACAGCACAGCUUUGGAAGGGUUCUCAGCCUAGGACAACAUGGGAGUUUCUAAACCAGCUGGGCUGGAGGAUACGCCUGACCAAUCAAUCCAACCAGCCGCUCCUCAGCCUCUUCCCUCAAGCCCUCACCUGGAAGAACAGGCUGACCUAUGGCCAAUUCCUGUGAGGCCAAGGACCCAGGAUCCCAGGGAAACUGCUGGAGUGUGGUUCAGAGUAAUAAUUAAUUUCAAGCAUUUCACCUC